ACAAUGAAGAGUUUGAUCCUGGCUCAGGAUGAACGCUAGCGACAGGCCUAACACAUGCAAGUCGAGGGGCAGCACGAGGUAGCAAUACUUGGGUGGCGACCGGCGGACGGGUGAGUAA
rnacentral:rRNA from 1 species